rnacentral:rRNA from 1 species
CCUACGGGAGGCAGCAGUGAGGAAUAUUGGUCAAUGGCCGAGAGGCUGAACCAGCCAAGUCGCGUGAGGGAAGAAUGUCCUAUGGAUUGUAAACCUCUUUUGUCAGGGAGCAAAGUCACCCACGUGUGGGUGUUGGAGAGUACCUGAAGAAAAAGCAUCGGCUAACUCCGUGCCAGCAGCCGCGGUAAUACGGAGGAUGCGAGCGUUAUCCGGAUUUAUUGGGUUUAAAGGGUGCGUAGGCGGGCUUUUAAGUCAGCGGUAAAAAUUCGGGGCUCAACCCCGUCCGGCCGUUGAAACUGGGGGCCUUGAGUGGGCGAGAAGAAGGCGGAAUGCGUGGUGUAGCGGUGAAAUGCAUAGAUAUCACGCAGAACCCCGAUUGCGAAGGCAGCCUUCCGGCGCCCUACUGACGCUGAGGCACGAAAGUGCGGGGAUCGAACAGGAUUAGAUACCUGGGUAGUC